rnacentral:rRNA from 1 species
AGAGUUUGAUCAUGGCUCAGAACGAACGCUGGCGGCGCGCCUAACACAUGCAAGUCGAACGGGGUACUUGGAGCUGAUCGCUUCGGCGUGAAGCACCUUGUUACCUAGUGGCGAACGGGUGAGUAACACGUAGGUAACCUGCCCUCAGGAUUGGGAUACUCCCGAGAAAUCGGGCUCAAUACCGAAUAUGAUUCCAGGGUGAAAUGCCCAGGGAUAAAAGCUGUGAGCAAUCAUGGUACCAGAGGAGGGGCCUGCGGCCUAUCAGCUUGUUGGUGAGGUAGCGGCUCACCAAGGCUAAGACGGGUAGCCGGACUGAGAGGUUGAUCGGCCACACUGGAACUGAGACACGGUCCAGACUCCUACGGGAGGCAGCAGUGGGGAAUUUUGCGCAAUGGGCGAAAGCCUGACGCAGCGACGCCGCGUGGGGGAAGAAGGCCUUCGGGUUGUAAACUCCUUUAGUAUGGGAAGAAGUCCCGAGCAAUCGGGAUGACGGUACCGUAAGAAUAAGCCACGGCUAACUCUGUGCCAGCAGCCGCGGUAAGACAGAGGUGGCAAGCGUUGUUCGGAUUUACUGGGCUUAAAGGGCGUGUAGGCGUCCUGAUAAGUCAGAUGUGGAAGCCUUGGGCUUAACCCAAGAAGUGCAUUUGAAACUGUCGGGAUUGAGUCGUGCAAGGGAGGGCGGAAUUCCUGNNGUAGCGGUGAAAUGCGUAGAUAUCNNAGGAAGGCCGGUGGUGAAGACGGCCCUCUNGGNAAUGACUGACGCUGAGGCNCGAAAGCGUGGGGAGCAACAGGAUUANAUACCCUGNAGUCNACGCCCUAAACGGUGCGUACUAG